CACUGACCCUUUACCUUGCUUCCUUGAGCUUCUGGCAAAGAUAAGUGUAUAUAAAAAAUACCCCAAUCUGUCUCAGUGGAGAUAUCUUUGCCAGAAGCUCAAGGAAGCAUGGUAAAAGGUCAGUGU
rnacentral:miRNA from 1 species